rnacentral:lncRNA from 1 species
CUCUGAUGAUUUCACCACUCGGUGGUUCCAUAAUGACAGCGAGGAGGCAGAAACCCUAAAUCCUGAAACAUUUUGAGUGGAACCCAGCACGCAGGAACCUGCGAGAUUCUUCCGUUUCGUCGAGGUCCGCAUCGAUUGUAUUGACCUCCCCGUGGGCCAGCUUGUCUCCUUCAUCGAUCAGCCGAACGAAGUCUAGGACAGAACUGUAGACCAAAGGAAAUCGCAGGCGUCUUUGCAAAGCUGGUGGGAAGUAACCCAGCGGCUGCUGGAAAACGAAUGGGUGACCUAAGCCGGUUCCACCCCCUCCCAGGGCGUCGGCAAAAGGAGCUUCUCACCCCACU